rnacentral:lncRNA from 1 species
UUGGCCAAUUCCCUAGCUGAAUGUGGAAUCAGAAUGCUAAGAUGGAGCAUUCACAAGAAUCCUUUCUUUCACAGCAGAAGACUUCUGGCCUUUUCUUCAUGGUAACCUGAGUCUGCGUCUCUGCCCUCCACACUGCUCCUGCCUCCUCUGCCUGCCUAGGGAGUCUUGGGGGUCUGGCCUUGUGCUAGAAACAGCCAGAGCUGUGGCACCUUGGCUUGUGUUCACACCCAGAGACCUCUGUGCCUCCUCCUCUGCUCUGUAGGGAGGAGGGAGGAGGGACCUUCCCAGGAGAUGUUCCCUGCCUAUCAUUUUCUGUUUCUGAGCUUCUAGGAGAAAGAAAGGUGGGGUUUCUACUGUCCAUUAUCUCUGUGGUCUUUAUAUUCAUAUUCAGUGUUCCUGUGGGAGGAUGAAAACCUUGGAGGGCCUCUGUUCUCUUUCUCUUGGGUCUGAUCACACCAAAAGUCCUCUGCUUCGGAGGAGCAGUGUAGGAGCUGAACUGCCAUGCACAGGGAAAUUGGGGGUUGGUACUGUUUUUCAGAUUUCCCUUUGUUGAUAUUUGGUUUUUCUUUUGUGAAUGAGGGUUUGGACUUAAUCUUUGAAAUGGAUCCUCUCUCUCUCUCUUUCUUUGCAGUACUGGGUUUCAAACCCAAGGCUUUGUGCAUACUGAGCAAUUGAACCCAAGGCUUUGUGCAUUCUGGGCAAGCACUCCAUGAUCAAUAGCUCAGGCUACAUCCUCAGCCCCUGAAUUGGAUCAUUCCCCCCCACCCCCAAUACUAGGGUUUGAAACCAGGGGAACUUUACCACUGAG